rnacentral:rRNA from 1 species
GACGAACGCUGGCGGCGUGCCUAAUACAUGCAAGUAGAACGCUGAAGGAGGAGCUUGCUUCUCUGGAUGAGUUGCGAACGGGUGAGUAACGCGUAGGUAACCUGCCUGGUAGCGGGGGAUAACUAUUGGAAACGAUAGCUAAUACCGCAUAAGAGUAGAUGUUGCAUGACAUUUGCUUAAAAGGUGCAAUUGCAUCACUACCAGAUGGACCUGCGUUGUAUUAGCUAGUUGGUGGGGUAACGGCUCACCAAGGCGACGAUACAUAGCCGACCUGAGAGGGUGAUCGGCCACACUGGGACUGAGACACGGCCCAGACUCCUACGGGAGGCAGCAGUAGGGAAUCUUCGGCAAUGGACGGAAGUCUGACCGAGCAACGCCGCGUGAGUGAAAGAAAGGUUUUUCGGGAUCGUAAAAGCUCUGUUGUAAAG